UAGCGGGGCUUUGUCUUGACUGGGGCGGUGAGUCUCUUUAGACUCAUGCACCCCUAAAUUUGGCAGGGCACGUGCUCUGCCAUUUUGUUUGUAGGGCAAUAGCGUCGCAAGACAACAGUGGAGCUUAAGA
rfam:Pseudomonadales bacterium RIFCSPHIGHO2_02_FTLL_60_43 rifcsphigho2_02_scaffold_195106, whole genome shotgun sequence.